rnacentral:rRNA from 1 species
GACGAACGCUGGCGGCGUGCCUAAUACAUGCAAGUCGAGCGAGCUUGCCUAGAUGAAUUUGGUGCUUGCACCAGAUGAAACUAGGUACAAGCGAGCGGCGGACGGGUGAGUAACACGUGGGUAACCUGCCCAAGAGACUGGGAUAACACCUGGAAACAGAUGCUAAUACCGGAUAACAACACUAGACGCAUGUCUAGAGUUUAAAAGAUGGUUCUGCUAUCACUCUUGGAUGGACCUGCGGUGCAUUAGCUAGUUGGUAAGGCAACGGCUUACCAAGGCAAUGAUGCUUAGCCGAGUUGAGAGACUGAUCGGCCACAUUGGGACUGAGACACGGCCCAAACUCCUACGGGAGGCAGCAGUAGGGAAUCUUCCACAAUGGACGCAAGUCUGAUGGAGCAACGCCGCGUGAGUGAAGAAGGGUUUCGGCUCGUAAAGCUCUGUUGGUAGUGAAGAAAGAUAGAGGUAGUAACUGGCCUUUAUUUGACGGUAAUUACUUAGAAAGUCACGGCUAACUACGUG